rnacentral:pre_miRNA from 1 species
AGUGUAAUUGCUGGAUCAUACGGUGUGACUAUGUUUAGCUUUGUAAGGAAUUGCCGAACUGUCUUCCAAAGUGGCUGUACCAUGUUGCAUUCCCACCAGCAAU